rnacentral:rRNA from 1 species
GACGAACGCUGGCGGCGUGCUUAACACAUGCAAGUCGACAUGAGUGGCGAACGGGAGAGUAAUACGUGGGUAACCUGCCCUCCGUUUUGGGAUAAGCCUUGGAAACGGGGUCUAAUACCGAAUAAAGGGGGAUGGGCGCGCGGCCUAUUAGCUUGUUGGUGGGGUAAUGGCCUACCAAGGCGGUGACGGGUAGCCGGCCUGAGAGGGGGACCGGCACCAUUGGAACGGGGAUACGGCUCAGAGUGCUACGGGUUGGAGAUGUGGGGGAUAUGGCACAAGGGGGGAAGGCCUGAUCCGCGGACGCCGAGUGGGGGUUGAAGGCUUUAGGCUCUUAAGCCUCUUUCGCUAUCGAGCGGGUAGGUAGAGAAGAAGCGCCGGCUAACUACGUGCCAGCAGCCGCGGUAAUAC